rnacentral:rRNA from 1 species
UGGGGAAUUUUGCGCAAUGGGGGAAACCCUGACGCAGCAACGCCGCGUGGAGGAUGAAAUCCCUUGGGAUGUAAACUCCUUUCGAUCGGGACGAUUAUGACGGUACCGGAAGAAGAAGCCCCGGCUAACUUCGUG